UAGAAAAAGGUAAAAAGUUAGAAAAAGGUAAAAAGUUAGAAAAAGGUAAAAAGUUAGAAAAAGGUAAAAAGUUAGAAAAACGUAAAAAGUUAGAAAAAGGUAAAAAGUUAGAAAAAGGUAAAAAGUUAGAAAAAGGUAAAAAGUUAGAAAAAGGUAAAAAGUUAGAAAAAGGUAAAAAGUUAGAAAAAGGUAAAAAGUUAGAAAAAGGUAAAAAGUUAGAAAAAGGUAAAAAGUUAGAAAAAGGUAAAAGGUUAGAAAAAGGUAAAAGGUUAGAAAAAGGUAAAAGGUUAGAAAAAGGUAAAAAGUUAGAAAAAGGUAAAAAGUUAGAAAAAGGUAAAAAGUUAGAAAAACGUAAAAAGUUAGAAAAAGGUAAAAAGUUAGAAAAAGGUAAAAAGUUAGAAAAAGGUAAAAAGUUAGAAAAAGGUAAAAAGUUAGAAAAAGGUAAAAAGUUAGAAAAAGGUAAAAAGUUAGAAAAAGGUAAAAAGUUAGAAAAAGGUAAAAAGUUAGAAAAAGGUAAAAAGUUAGAAAAAGGUAAAAGGUUAGAAAAAGGUAAAAGGUUAGAAAAAGGUAAAAAGUUAGAAAAAGGUAAAAAGUUAGAAAAAGGUAAAAAGUUAGAAAAAGGUAAAAAGUUAGAAAAAGGUAAAAAGUUAGAAAAAGGUAAAAAGUUAGAAAAACGUAAAAAGUUAGAAAAAGGUAAAAAGUUAGAAAAAGGUAAAAAGUUAGAAAAAGGUAAAAAGUUAGAAAAAGGUAAAAAGUUAGAAAAAGGUAAAAAGUUAGAAAAAGGUAAAAAGUUAGAAAAACGUAAAUAGUUAGAAAAACGUAAAAAGUUAGAAAAACGUAAAAAGUUAGAAAAAGGUAAAAAGUUAGAAAAAGGUAAAAAGUUAGAAAAACGUAAAAAGUUAGAAAAACGUAAAUAGUUAGAAAAACGGAAAAAGUUAGAAACACGUAAAAAGUUAGAAAAACGUAAAUAGUUAGAAAAACGUAAAAAGUUAGAAAAACGUAAAAAGUUAGAAAAAGGUAAAAAGUUAGAAAAAGGUAAAAAGUUAGAAAAAGGUAAAAAGUUAGAAAAAGGUAAAAAGUUAGAAAAAGGUAAAAAGUUAGAAAAAGGUAAAAAGUUAGAAAAAGGUAAAAAGUUAGAAAAAGGUAAAAAGUUAGAAAAACGUAAAAAGUUAGAAAAACGUAAAAAGUUAGAAAAACGUAAAAAGUUAGAA